rnacentral:lncRNA from 1 species
GGGGAGCUGCGGCUCGACACGGGGAACAUGGGAAUGGGAAUGGGAAUGGGAAUGGGAGUGGGAGUGGGAAUGGGAAUGGGAUGGGAUGGGAUGGGAUGGGAUGGGAUGGGAUGGGAUGGGAUGGGAUGGGAUGGGAUGGGAUGGGAAUGGACCUGGAAUGACACCAGGCUGCCGGUCUCCAUCCCAAUGGAGGCAAGACUGUGGGAUCCACCAGGGCUGGGAUCCCGGGAUCCAUCCCAGGACGUUCCCAUGGUGGGAUCCCGGAUCCAUCCCAUGAUCCUUUCCCAUGGUGGACAGUUUUCCAGGGACACUUCCCACCGUUCCAGGCUGCUCCAGCCGGACCCUUCCAGGGUCCAGGGGCAACCACAGCUUCCCUGGGAAUUCCAUCCCAGCCCUUCCCCACCCUCCCAGCUGGGAAUUCCUUCCCAAAAUCCCACGGAAAUCUCCCAUCCUUCAGUUUAAACCCAUCCCUCAUCCCCAAAAAUUUUGUCCCAUUCCCAACACGGAGCCGGCAAAACCCUGGGAUGAGCCGAUCCCAGCGGCUCCAUCCCAUCAUCUCCAUCCUGCUUUUCCAGCUGCUCCGGAUGUUCUUCCGGCAGCAAGACGAGAUCCGGCGCCUGAAGGAUGAGCUCUCGCAGAAGGACGUUCGGAUCCGGCAGCUCCAGCUGGAAUUAAAGAACUUCCGGAACAGCCCCAAGAACAAUUGAGCCCAUCCAGGGCCCUUUUCUAAAGCCAUUCCCAAGUUUCUACUCCCGAAUUCCCUGGAUUUGCUCACCCGCGGCGCAAUUCCGGAAUCUGCGGCUGCCGAGAGCCUGGAAUCGUGUCCCGCACGUCUCGUCCGGCACUAAUCCCGCUCUAACCCGAUUCCUGGGAAUGCCCGGAGGCUCCGGGUCCUGUCGGAUGUCGGGAUGAGCCCGGGUGGAUUCCCGGGAAAAGGCGGAAAUUCCCCGCUCUUCCUUUCUUCUCCUAUGCAAAAAUACGACGGCGGGAACGGAACUGGAAAAGGGGCGGGAAGAGGGAAGGGCUGGAUGGGCCAAGGGGAUUCCGGGUGGGAAUCCGGGAUCCUUCCCGGGCUGGGAGUUUGGGAUCCUUCCCGUGAUCCUUGCCCAUGGUGGGAGCCUGGGAUCCUUCCCGUGGCAGGAGGAGGGGAUCCUUCCCGAGCUGGGAAUCUGGGAUCCAUUCCAGGACCCUUUCCCACAGUUGGAACUUCCCAUGGUGGGAUCCCGGGAUAUUCCCGGGGUGCUGCCCCAGGGCUGGAUCCCGAGGGUGGAUCCCGAGGGUGGAACGACACCAGAUCCCAAUUCCCAGAGAUCCCAAUUCCCACUCAAUCCAGGCCGCUGAAGUUUCCGGGGCGGAUCUGUCCCGUCCGUGUCCCGUGUUCCCGGCGUUCAUUCCCGGUAUUCCCGGCGUUCAUUCCCGGCGUUUCCCGCUGCCUUCCCCGUGCUGUCAUUCCCAAUUAUUUAUGCUCCCACGGGAUAGCAACGGAAUAAAACCUUUGCAGGAUACCAGAGCCGCGUUCCCGCUUUUCCUUCUCCAUCUGGGGGGAUCCU